rnacentral:lncRNA from 1 species
UUAUUAUCUAUUUACCAGUAUCUGAUAAAAAUAUUUUAUGACUACUUUUGACUACCUCCUUAAUGCUGAGUUCACACAUAUUUCGAAUUUGAUUCGCAUUAACUAAUUCAAAUUAUUUUAAUUCGCAUUCGAAACGUUUUAAGCCCUAAUGUCAAUUCUAAUUCGAAUUGCAAUGCGUGUCAAAUUCACUAAACUGUCCAAAAGACGUAAAUUUUAAUUCGUAUUAACAAAAGUGAAUUUCUUAUGCAAAUUAGAUAAUUCGAAUCAGCCAAUUCGAAUCAAUUUGAAUUAAAAAAGAAGAGUGUGUGAACGUGAUUGGCGAAUUCGAUUUAAAUGUACGUGUGAACGAGGCAUAACAUUUAGUAAUAUUAUUCUGUAUUUAUGAAAUGUUUUAAGGUGGUACCUAACACUAUAGGGAGAUAACUCUGUAAAAUCAGUUAAACGUUUUAAUUACGUUAUGUUGUUAAGGGAAUAUUAAGCUUCUAAAUGAUCAAAAUUAGUAUUUGUCAAACUGCUAUGUAACCAGUGUAAUUUUUCUGAAAAAAAACGGUUGGUUCAAAUUAUUUGAAAUUUUUAUAUUUUUGUCAAAGGGACAAAGUAUAUGCUUUGUCAAAAUUUUAUGAAAUUUAAACGAGCCAAAUUAAUUUUAGUGAAAGUGUUGGGUACCACCUUAAAUGACUGCUUUUUUAGUUAAGAAAAUAUCUGACUGAAGCAGUUACAAAGCUGACCAGCAGACACAAAUCAAUAAAGCUGACCAGCAGACACAAAUCAAUAACAAUAGUAAAUGAUGUGUUCUAUCUGUUCUCAAACAUUGUUUACUUUUUUAUAUAGGGACAUUCAAACUAUUACAUUAUGUGGAAUUUUGAAGGACAAAUGAUGCUUGUUGUAUAAAUCAAUUCGAAUAUCAGCUGCAAUUAACCAUAUUUAGCAUAUUUAGGGCGACAGAAAUGAGAAAUUUUAGUGGAAUUUUUUGGAAAUUAUGCAUUUUCCAGUAGAUGGCGCUGCAAAGUCUAUAAACAGCAUCAGAUCAAAUUUUAAAGAUGGAUUUUUUUUUCUUUUGGCUGUCUUAACAUAUGUGCAAAAUUUCAUUACAUUUGGUUGACAUGUCAUGUGGACCCACUAAUAAGCUUUUUGCAUGGCUCUAUCAAAGACAGGGUGUUAAUAUUGAUAUAAAAAAUUCUUUGGUUAAAAAAUUCUUGUCUUUUUAUGUUUAUGCAUUUCCAUAUGACAGUUAUACAUGUUAUUAUUAUUAAGAGAAAUUUACUAAUGAUUUUAUGAUUUAUAUAUAAUAAUGGAGUUAAACUUUUAUUAUAUUGCUGUAUAUGUUGUUACUGAAAAAGACGGGAAAAUUAUUAAAAAUAAAAUU